AUUGACCGCUUUCUUCAUGCCUAACACAUGCAAGUCGAACGGUAACAGGAAGCAGCUUGCUGCUUCGCUGACGAGUGGCGGACGGGUGAGUAAUGUCUGGGAAACUGCCUGAUGGAGGGGGAUAACUACUGGAAACGGUAGCUAAUACCGCAUAACGUCGCAAGACCAAAGAGGGGGACCUUAGGGCCUCUUGCCAUCGGAUGUGCCCAGAUGGGAUUAGCUAGUAGGUGGGGUAACGGCUCACCUAGGCGACGAUCCCUAGCUGGUCUGAGAGGAUGACCAGCCACACUGGAACUGAGACACGGUCCAGACUCCUACGGGAGGCAGCAGUGGGGAAUAUUGCACAAUGGGCGCAAGCCUGAUGCAGCCAUGCCGCGUGUAUGAAGAAGGCCUUCGGGUUGUAAAGUACUUUCAGCGGGGAGGAAGGGAGUAAAGUUAAUACCUUUGCUCAUUGACGUUACCCGCAGAAGAAGCACCGGCUAACUCCGUG
rnacentral:rRNA from 1 species